rnacentral:rRNA from 1 species
CCUACGGGAGGCAGCAGUGAGGAAUAUUGGUCAAUGGACGCAAGUCUGAACCAGCCAUGCCGCGUGCAGGAAGAAGGCUCUGUGAGUUGUAAACUGCUUUUGUACGAGGGUAAACGCAGAUACGCGUAUCUGUCUGAAAGUAUCGUACGAAUAAGGAUCGGCUAACUCCGUGCCAGCAGCCGCGGUAAUACGGAGGAUUCGAGCGUUAUCCGGAUUUAUUGGGUUUAAAGGGUGCGUAGGCGGUCGGAUAAGUUAGAGGUGAAAUCCCGAGGCUCAACUUCGGAAUGGCCUCUGAUACUGUUCGUCUAGAGAGUAGUUGCGGUAGGCGGAAUGUAUGGUGUAGCGGUGAAAUGCUUAGAGAUCAUACAGAACACCGAUUGCGAAGGCAGCUUACCAAGCUACUUCUGACGUUGAGGCACGAAAGCGUGGGGAGCAAACAGGAUUAGAUACCCUAGUAGUC